ensembl:lncRNA
UCCUAUGAGGAAAGGUUGAGGGAACUGGGCUUGUUUAGCUUGGAGAAGGGAAGGCUCCGGGGAGACCUCAUUGUGGCCUUCCAGUACUUGAAGGGAGCGUAUAAACAGGAGGGGGAACGGCUGUUUGUGAGGGUGAACAGUGAUAGGACAAGGGGGAAUGGUUUUAAACUGAGACAGGGGAGGUUUAGGUUGGAGAUGAGGAGGAAGUUUUUCCCCCAGAGGGUGGUGACGCACUGAACAGGUUGCCCAAGGAGGCUGUGGGUGCCCCAUCCCUGCAGGCAUUCAAGGCCAGGCUGGAUGUGGCUCUGGGCAGCCUGGGCUGCUGGUUGGUGACCCUGCACAUAGCAGGGGGUUGGAACUGGAUGAG